GCAGUAUCUCAGUGGUAGAAACCUGCUUUGCAUGCAGAAAGUUUCGGGUUCAAUCCCUGACAUCUGCA